UACGUAGGGUGCAAGCGUUGUCCGGAAUUAUUGGGCGUAAAGAGCUCGUAGGCGGUUUGUCGCGUCUGCUGUGAAAACUCGGGGCUUAACUCCGGGCCUGCAGUGGGUACGGGCAGACUAGAGUGCGGUAGGGGAGACUGGAAUUCCUGGUGUAGCGGUGAAAUGCGCAGAUAUCAGGAGGAACACCGGUGGCGAAGGCGGUUCUCUGGGCCUGUACUGACGCUGAGGAACGAAAGCGUGGGGAGCGAACAGG
rnacentral:rRNA from 1 species